rnacentral:tRNA from 1 species
GCUCCGAUAGUGUAGACAGGUCAAUCAUACGGGCCUCUCGAGCCUGUGACCCGGGUUCAAAUCCCGGUCGGAGCA